GAUGAAGAACGUAGCGAAAUGCGAUAAGUAAUGUGAAUUGCAGAAUUCAGUGAAUCAUCGAAUCUUUGAACGCACAUUGCGCCCCUUGGUAUUCCGAGGGGCAUGCCUGUUCGAGCGUCAUUAUAACCCCUCAAGCUCAGCUUGGUGUUGGGGCCUGCCGCACGGGCAGCCCUUAAAAUCAGUGGCGGUGCCAUCUGGCUCUAAACGUAGUAAUUCUUCUCGCUAUAGAGUCACGGUGGAUGCUUGCCAUUAACCCCCAAUUUUCAAUGGUUGACCUCGGAUCAGGUAGGGAUACCCGCUGAACUUAAGCAUAUCAAUAAGCGGAGGA
rnacentral:misc_RNA from 1 species